rnacentral:rRNA from 1 species
CAGCCGCCGCGGUAAUACCGGCGGCCCGAGUGGCGGCCACUAUUAUUGGGCUUAAAGCGUCCGUAGCCGGGUUGGUUAGUCUCCCGGGAAAUCUGGCCGCUUAACGGUCAGAAUUCCGGGAGAUACUGCCAGCCUAGGGACCGGGAGAGGCCGAGGGGAUUCCCGGAGUAGGGGUGAAAUCCUAUAAUCCCGCGAGGACCACCUGUGGCGAAGGCGCUCGGCUGGAACGGGUCCGACGGUGAGGGACGAAGGCCAGGGGAGCAAACCGGAUUAGAUACCCGGGUAGUCCUGGCUGUAAACGAUGCGGACUUUGUGUCGGACAAGCUAUGAGCUUGUCCGGUGCCGGAGGGAAACCGUUAAGUCCGCCGCCUGGGGAGUACGGCCGCAAGGCUGAAACUUAAAGGAAUUGGCGGG